rnacentral:rRNA from 1 species
CCUACGGGGGGCAGCAGUGGGGAAUAUUGGACAAUGGGCGAAAGCCUGAUCCAGCCAUGCCGCGUGUGUGAAGAAGGCCUUCGGGUUGUAAAGCACUUUCAGUGGGGAAGAAAGCCUUGGGGCUAAUACCCUCGAGGAAGGACUUCACCCACAGAAGAAGCACCGGCUAACUCCGUGCCAGCAGCCGCGGUAAUACGGAGGGUGCGAGCGUUAAUCGGAAUUACUGGGCGUAAAGCGCGCGUAGGCGGUCUGAUAAGCCGGUUGUGAAAGCCCCGGGCUCAACCUGGGAACGGCAUCCGGAACUGUCAGGCUAGAGUGCAGGAGAGGAAGGUAGAAUUCCCGGUGUAGCGGUGAAAUGCGUAGAGAUCGGGAGGAAUACCAGUGGCGAAGGCGGCCUUCUGGACUGACACUGACGCUGAGGUGCGAAAGCGUGGGUAGCAAACAGGAUUAGAUACCCUGGUAGUC